rnacentral:rRNA from 1 species
UGGGGAAUAUUGCACAAUGGGGGAAACCCUGAUGCAGCAACGCCGCGUGAGUGAUGACGGCCUUCGGGUUGUAAAGCUCUGUCUUCAGGGACGAUAAUGACGGUACCUGAGGAGGAAGCCACGGCUAACUACGUGCCAGCAGCCGCGGUAAUACGUAGGUGGCAAGCGUUGUCCGGAUUUACUGGGCGUAAAGGGAGCGUAGGCGGACUUUUAAGUGAGAUGUGAAAUACCCGGGCUCAACCUGGGUGCUGCAUUUCAAACUGGAAGUCUAGAGUGCAGGAGAGGAUAGUGGAAUUCCUAGUGUAGCGGUGAAAUGCGUAGAGAUUAGGAAGAACACCAGUGGCGAAGGCGGUCAACUGGCCCAUAACUGACGCUCAUGCACGAAAGCGUGGGGAGCAAACA